rnacentral:rRNA from 1 species
UACAGAGGGUGCGAGCAUUAUUCGAAAUAACUGGGCGUAAAAGAGCAAGUAGAUGGCUUAUUAAAGUUAAUAGUAAAAUCCCAAAAAACUUUUUUUGGACAAGCUAUUAAAAACGAAUAGGAUAGAGUUUCAUUAGAGGAUAGUGGAAUUUUUAAUGUAGAGUUAAAAUUCAAUUAAUAUUAAAAGGAACACCAAAGGCGAAAGCAACUAUCUAAAUGAAUACUGACAUUGAGAAUGCGAAAGCUUGGGACUGAUCAAACGGG